rnacentral:ncRNA from 1 species
UCAGUACUUCGCGGGAGCCCAGCAUAGAGGGCUGAGAAAACACUUUUCCUUCACCGCGCGGAUAUCGUCGUCGUGCCGAUAUCGCGAACGGAUAUCACGUGCCGGGGAAGAAUGUUGACCGUAUGAACCUGAUCCGGGUUAUACCGGCGAUAGGGAGUAAAGCUGUGAGGAAA